rnacentral:lncRNA from 1 species
UUCCUUUGCCGUUGGUUCACCCCGCAAUGGCCGCUUUGGCUGAUGCGCUGCGGCCAGUGCACUGCGCUGAUCUGAGCCAGGAGCCAGGUGCCUCUCCUGGUCUCCCAUGGGGUGCAGGGCCCAAGCACUUGGGCCAUCCUCCACUGCACUCCCUGGCCACAGCAGAGAGCUGGCCUGGAAGAGGGGCAACCGGGACAGAAUCCGGCGCCCCGACUGGGACUAGAACCCAGUGUGCCGGUGCCGCAGGCGGAGGAUUAGCCUAGUGAGCCGUGGCGUUGGCCACUGAAUCAUUAUUUUUAAACAGAGUAAGAAACUGAGUCUCAGGAAGCCCGUGCGCUGUGACGUGAAAGCCAAGCCACGAUGAUGCACUCUCUCUCUUGCUUGUGCACGAGUCUUAGAGCCCUAAACCCCAGCAGGAGUCCCCUAGGCUGGUCCUGCUGCGCUCAUACAGGCUACCUGGGAAGGAAAGUUCCAGAAGUGAAGAGACUAAAACCCCAUGGAAGGUUGGGCUGGAAGUCAGACACGUGCUGGAUCUUCUCCCUCUUCUUAGACCACCCACAUCCUGCGGUCCAUCCUGGUGACCCUGGACCUGCUCCAGUUAAGGUUUCAGAGUCUCUGUGCUGUUGGCAGUUCAUAUCAAUUCUUCUUUUUUUUUUAAUUUAGGUUUUAAAGAUUUCUUUAUUUGACAGCCAGAGGCAAAGGCAGAGGCAGAAAGAGGAAAGGCCUUCCAUUUGCUGGUUCACUCCCCAAAUGGCCACAAUGGCCACAAUGGCCACAUCUGGGCGGAUCCAAAGCCUGGAUCCUGAGCCUCUUCUGGGUCUCCCAUGUGGGUUCAGGGGCCCAAGGACUUGGGCCAUCUUCCACUGCUUUCCCAGGCACAUUAGCAGGGAACUGGAUCAGAAAUGGAGCAGCUAGGACUUGAACCAACGCCCAUAUGGGAUGUUAGCACAGCAGGUGGCAGCUUUACCUGCUAUGCCACAGCGUUGUCCCCAUGAAUGGUAUUUUAAACCAUGAGAAGAUAACAAAGGGGGAAAAUUGAGAUAGAGCUUUCAAACAUAGUGAUAACUACCAAAAGCAGAAGAAAAUGGAGACUAUUGGAUGCACACCAUUUAAAUGUAUUAAAAUCACAUAUACAUAGAAAACAACUUCGCAUAUUUUGUAAGUCAAUAUGCAUUAGGGUCAUAUAUCAUUAGGGUGCCCAUAGGGGAGGAGAUUGGGACCAGGGACUGGGAUGAAUGGGGGCAUGGAAGAGAUCAAUAAAAAGUUGAUAAUGAUGACGUGCUGAGACCUG